GUUCUUUUAUCUGCUACCAUAAAUCUAGUCAAAGGAAGGAUUUUAAAGCUUUUGUUCAGCUUGCUCCAUUUUUAGUGAAAAGGGGCUGGAUAUGAGCAGGUAGUACAACUUUAGUGUAUGCUAGCAGAGGUUUCCAGAGACCAAAAGAAAACAAAAAAUGCAGCACAAUUUGCAAACUGAAGACAAUAUAAGGAUGCAUGGUGUUCCAACUGAGUACACAAAAGAGUUAAUCAAGCAAGACAAACAGUGGAGGAAAUAUUCCAUGGAAGAAUUCAGAGUUUUGUGUGUGGAAACCAAACUGAAAAUAAUGAUGG